UUAAGAACAUUCCUUGUUCUUGUAUCUGAAGAGAACUCAUUAAAACAUGAUUAAAAUGGAAAAAGAAAUAAAGUGAUGUUUCUGGCCUAAAACAAAAAUGCAACAAUAAUAGCACUGAUAUGAGAAAGAGAAAGACUCUCAGGAAAGACAAAGCACUGUGGUUCCUUCAAAUGCUUUCAUUUUUAUUCCAAAGAGUCUGGUAAUGCGUCGCUGUUCCUUUCCAACCCCAAUAUCCUCAGAAAACCCAGAGCCCUGAGCUCUCGAGGGACAGUGAAGUUUUCAGUCCCCGAGCAGUAGGCUGAACUGCAUUUAUUAAUCUCUAGUCUAUGUCACCAGGGACCCUAACGUUAGGUACUGUAAUUAGUCACCAUGGGGGUUACAAAUUCCAAGUCAAAGACAAGUGUACAUAAUUGAUGUCAUGGCAUGAAGAGGAGCUGACGAGCCCAUUAAGAAAGCUGCCUGUCACUCUCAGAACAUAGUGCUCCUUCAAAUUAACUACAGAAGUGUUGUAAAUGAUAAAGAUGCGGAGAAACAGGAAAUAGGACACCCGCUGUGUUAAAGAAUGACUGUCUUCUUGUUGGCUAUUUGGAAGACGCAACUAAAAGGAAUCAUCCUGUUAAAGGCAAAUGUGUGGAUGCAAUUAAUCUCAUCUUGUUCAUGUAGUGUAGGCACUUCAACCUUAAGUUCUCAGAAGUAUGUAUGCGCUUAACUAGUUUUGAUUUUAUAUGCUGAAGCAGCACAAAAGUAGCACAGUAAUAUGGGCUAUGGUGUUCCAAUAACCACUUAGGUCCCUGCAGUAAAUGAUAUAAAAAAACAAAAAUCAGCAGUAAAUGCACACCAAGUGGGAAGUCCCGUGGCUGGCUGAAGAUAACUGAAAAGUCCAUUUCACUGCUGUGCUCAGAGAUGUUAGCUACAAAACUCUGGCGUUUAUUUCAGUCAAGCUGUCCUUUUUCCCUGUCACCUACCAUGUUUCCAAGGGAAACCUGCAUCUCUGGCACUUCCCAGACAGGAAAAUUGGGUCUGCAGUAAUCCCAAGUACCUGUGAUAAGACGCUCGGCUCUGUCAUGGAGGCCGAAGGCUUUGCGAGCAGGGAAGGACAGCGAGUCAGCUGGAUGUACGUGCAUUAUGCCAUGUCCCUGCCAGGGCUGGAGCCUAAUUGGAUUGCACAAAUGCGACUUCUGUGUCUCUUGAUCACAAAACCAAAUUAAACCUCAAGAACUUUCAAACAAAUCCCUACCUGAAAGUUUGCCUUGAAAAGAAAGUGCUGAUAGCUGGUAUCAUUUCAGGAUGAGAGUAAAAUGAAAACUCCAAACAAAAACUAUUGCUUUAAAGCAAGUUAGAAGAGAAGCAAAGCAAAGCACGAGCAGCAAAUCUGCUGAACUCCUGGGUGUACUGAACAAAAUCAGCCGUGUGAUAAUGAUGGGAUUUUCUAGAAGACCUUUUAGGCAUGCAACUUCUGUAUUAAUUUAUUCAGAAUUCCCUAGAACAUCUGUUUCUUCUCUAAAAUGAGAAUAACAGCCACUUUUUACAGUGCAAUGACAGCUACAGAUGAAAGCAUGGUAAUUACCACUAGUGACUACUGCCUAACAGAUUUUCUUGCAAGUUUCUCUGUCAAGAGUUUUUUUUUUUUAAUCUACAUGCGGAUUCUGGAUAAGAACCUCAGCCAUGAUAGCCCCAGUUCAUGCAAUUUUGGGAGGGAGGGGGGAUUAACAGUGAAGCCUCUUGAAUCCAGGUCACAAGCAGGCUCCCCCUUUCCAAACGUUUGUGCGUGAUUCAGGGUGCAGAGAUGACGGCUGCUGGCAGGCUUCCCCUGGGGCCACCGCGGCAGUGGCUCAGGGUCUCCAGGGCAGCCUCUGCUGCAUUCACAGCAAGGCCAGGACGCGUGCGGACACCCCAGUUCGUCUGCAGAGCAUGAGGCAAGCAAACGUUGCCCUCCUUGUGCAAACAGCAAGGCACACAAAGUCACUAAACCGGAUUAGUUUGGUACGAUCCCAGCACUCAGGCAAAAGCUUGCCUCUUGAACAACUCCGUGAGCAUACCGCUGCGAGAUCACUUGGCACCAGGCUGUUCUGAUCUUUAUGCAGCCGCAUGAGCAGUUGUAAGACAGGGACCAAAAAGCCAAGGGACGGGGAAACAUGGGCAACUUUCAUGCAGAGCAAAAUUCUGCUGUAAGAAACCUGGCUGACAUCUCUGUGUGCAGCAGGGAAUGGCAGCUAUUG